UGGAGCUGCAGUCUGUCAGAGAUCAGCUGUUCUUCUCUGGCUUCAGCUCUGAGGUCAAACCCCUCUCAUCUGAGAGAACUGGAUCUGAGUAACAACAACCUGCAGGACUCAGAAGUGAAGGAGCUGCUUGAUCUACAGAAGAGUCCAACCUGUCGACUGGAGACUCUGAGGUGGAGGGGGGGGUCUGAGUCUGAGUCUGUGUCUGAGUGAAGCAGAGGACAGUGUGUGUGGAUGGAGGCUGAGCUGUGUCCUGAGGAUCCAGAGGCUGAAGCAGCAGCAGCUUGUGUGUAGAGCGGCUCUGACUGGACCUUGUUGCUGGGAGGCAGAGUGGAGACAGAGCUCCAGAGGAAUCAGAGGAGGUGGUUGCAAUAUGUAACUUCACCACUAGAUGGCCCUCCACACCGAUUGUGUUUAUUCACAUGAAGACUGUGUUUAUUGAAAUGACACAACACAAGCAGAAUAUAUAACCCCUCUAUAAAGAGUCACAUAUAUGUGUUUAAGAUUCCUUUAUUCUGUUCCACCUUUGUCCCUCAGUGUGUCUCCAUGUGUGUAGAACCACAUUCUGUUUGUUUAUGAUCUUAAAGUUCCUGGAUUCACGUCACAAAUUGAUUUAGUUCAACACAAAGUUCAACACAAUCAAAUCACUUUGAGUUUAAAAUCAGACUUUUGUCUUUGACACAAAAGAUCGAAACUCUGGACUUAAAAAUGGGACGUUUUCAUUUCUGCAUCAGGUGCAGAGCGGUGGUGUCUUUUCUUCUUUUGACCCACAGGUGGCGCUGCAGUAUAACAGCAGCACAUCCCAGUCAAAGCCUUUAUAUUCAGUCUAUGAGUCAAACACAUGGAUCAUUUCCUCUGUGACAAACCAGAUGUAACGAGAAGAAAAACACGUCAGAGAGAAAAGUUCUGUUUCUACUUGUCUCUGCUUUAAUGCUCAAUAAACAUCCUUCCACCGACUUCACUGGAA